UACGUAGGGUGCAAACGUUGUUCGGAAUCACUGGGCAUAAAGGGCGCGUAGGCGGUUUGAUAAGUCCUGUGUGAAAGCCCCCGGCUUAACCGGGGAACUGCACAGGAUACUGUCGAGUUAGAGUGUAGAAGAGGAGAGCGGAAUUCCUGGUGGAGCGGUGAAAUGCGUAGAUAUCAGGAGGAACGCCAGUGGCGAAAGCGGCUCUCUGGUCUACUACUGACGCUGAGGCGCGAAAGCUAGGGGAGCAAACGGG
rnacentral:rRNA from 1 species